rnacentral:rRNA from 1 species
UACGGAGGGGGCGAGCGUUAUUCGGAAUUAUUGGGCGUAAAGGGCGCGUAGGCGGCUUGGUAAGUCAAAGGUGAAAUCCCUCGGCUCAACUGAGGAAUUGCCUUUGAAACUGCCUGGCUUGAGGCCGGGAGGGGGUAGCGGAAUUCCCAGUGUAGCGGUGAAAUGCGCAGAUAUCGGGAGGAACACCGGUGGCGAAGGCGGUUCUCUGGGCCUUACCUGACGCUGAGGAGCGAAAGCGUGGGGAGCGAACAGG